rnacentral:rRNA from 1 species
AUGCAGAGAAACAGGAGAGAAAUCAGAGAACAAGGUGUCCUUUGUCCAUUUGAUUUGAUACUAGUACGUAGUGGAUCAGAGUACACGAUAUAUAGGGCUUAUAACGCAGCCCACACACACACACACUCACUGACCAGCCGCUAUCCCACCCCACUAGCACGACGUCGACAUUCCUCCGCUGUAUCUGCUGACCCAGUCGUUGGCUCAUCACGGAGUCACGCGCGCGCCAUCUCGAGGUCGCAGCGGAAGACGGGAACGGGCUGGCCCUGGCCGUGCGCUCGGCGGCGGCGGCGGAUGCACACGAGAGUGCAGGCGAUGACGGCGACGAAGCAGGCAACCGCCACGGUGGCCGCCAGCGCCACGGCCACCGUGUGGAGCGGGCCGGGCGGCGGCGCGGGCACCGGCGGCGGCGGAGGAGGUGCUGGGAGCGCGAGGCGGGGGAGGUCGGCGCCGGGGUCGACCUCGUCCGCGGUCACCGCGGCGGCGCCAGCGGCGGCGAGGAGGAGGAAGAGGAGGAGGUGCGCUCGCGGUGGCGCCAUCUGGUCGUGGUCGUGGUCGUGGAGGAAUGCCUAG